rnacentral:rRNA from 1 species
AGAGUUUGAUCCUGGCUCAGAACGAACGCUGGCGGCGUGCCUAACACAUGCAAGUCGAGCGCGAAAGGAGCAAUCCGAGUAGAGCGGCGCACGGGGUGCGUAACACGUGGGUAAUCUGCCUCAAAGCUAGGGAUAACCUUCCGAAAGGUUGGCUAAUACCCAAUAAGCUCACGGGACUUACGGGUCCUGAGAGAAAAGGUGGCCUCUGUUUACAAGCCAUCACUUUGAGAUGAGCCCGCGGCCCAUCAGUUAGUUGGCGGGGUAAUGGCCCACCAAGACUACGACGGGUAGCUGGUCUGAGAGGACGAUCAGCCACACUGGAACUGAGACACGGUCCAGACUCCUACGGGAGGCAGCAGUGGGGAAUUUUGCACAAUGGGCGAAAGCCUGAUGCAGCAACGCCGCGUGUGUGAUGAAGGUCUUCGGAUCGUAAAGCACUUUCGACCGGGAAGAACAACCUCUGGCUAACAGUCAGGGGCCUGACGGUACCGGGAGAAGAAGCACCGGCUAACUCUGUGCCAGCAGCCGCGGUAA